CAGACGGUUCGGCCCUGCUGCAGCACGACUCUCCUCACAGCACUACGGUACUGGAUCAACCGGAACCGAGCGGAACAGCACACAGCCGUCAUGUUGUUGAUUCGUCUGUGUAACGACAGAUUCCUGUGUGGGCCUCUGGCUUCCUGUUGGGAGAGAUAUUUGACUGAAAUGCAAUACAGGUGAACAAGUACAACAGUUUGUCAAGUAAAGGUUUUCUGACAGGAUGCUACAGCUGCAAUAACAGUUUUUCUCUGCCCUAAUGCUGCAUGGGCAGAAAUCAAAGGCUGGGGGACUUGAAAGUGCAAGACCUAGACACUUUGGGUAAACUCACCUCUUUAAAUAUGAAGAAGUUAAGGAUGACCAUGCUGAAGUUGUAGACAAUGAGGGUCUUCCUCAGCUGGAAUGGCUCUCUGCCCUGCAUGUACUUUGGCCCCA